rnacentral:rRNA from 1 species
UACGUAGGGUGCGAGCGUUAAUCGGAAUUACUGGGCGUAAAGCGUGCGCAGGCGGUUUGUUAAGUCCGCUGUGAAAGCCCCGGGCUCAACCUGGGAAUGGCGGUGGAAACUGGCGAGCUAGAGUGUGUCAGAGGGGGGUGGAAUCCUGGUGUAGCGGGUGGAAUGCGCAGAUAUCAGGAGGAACACCGAUGGCGAAGGCAGAUCUCUGGGCCGUAACUGACGCUGAGGCGCGAAAGCGUGGGGAGCAAACAGG